CACGCGAACAGGUUCUCUCAAUCUAUUUCCAAAUAGGCGUAGUGAACUGGCAUUAGUCUUCACAAUCGCAGCAUAGACGAUGACACCGAAACACUGCACCAUAACAGUUCUCUUCGCGCUGUUUUCCCUAUGGCCACUGCUGACGCAUGCAUGUUUCUGGACACACGAGGAAACGAAGGUGAUAGCCCGGGACAAGUAUGCUGGCUGUCCCGACCACGAGGAGAUAUGCCAAGCACGCUGCCGGGUAUUCAUGAACACACAAGGAGUGUGUGACAGGUUGUACCCCAAGCGAUGCGUUUGCCUGUAGCGUGACAAGACAUCGACGAGGACUGCACUGAGGGUUAACGAGUCCACUCUUUCGCAUCACCUUAGUUAUUGGAUGGAGAACGACAAUCCAGAAAGCUCUAUUCAUCUUGCGGCCAUGGUGCACAGCAAUGUCAUCUUUACGCAAGUAAACACCGUGAAUGACAUCAGCA